GGAGGGUAGCAGCUUGGUGGCAGAGCGCGUGCUUAGCACGCACGAGGUCCCGGGUUCCAUCCCCGGUCCCUCCA
rnacentral:tRNA from 1 species